AAAAACCUAGAAACUAUCGUUAAAUCUAAAAAUUGGCGCCUGAGAUUUAUCCACGUCAUCCAGAGUAAAAAUUUUAUUCCUAGAUUCAACCAUGAGUAAAAAUUUUUACUGGAGUAAAUUUUUUACUUUUGGUAACAUGGACAAUCUCAAGCGUCCAUUUUUAGAUCAAAUGGUAUUUUUUAGAUUUUC
rnacentral:pre_miRNA from 1 species